UGGGGAAUAUUGCACAAUGGGGGAAACCCUGAUGCAGCAACGCCGCGUGAGUGAAGAAGUAUUUCGGUAUGUAAAGCUCUAUCAGCAGGGAAGAAGAAAGACGGUACCUGAGUAAGAAGCCCCGGCUAACUACGUGCCAGCAGCCGCGGUAAUACGUAGGGGGCAAGCGUUAUCCGGAAUUACUGGGUGUAAAGGGAGCGUAGACGGUGAUGUAAGUCUGGAGUGAAAGGCCGGGGCCCAACCCCGGGACUGCUCUUGGAACUGCGUGGCUAGAGUGCAGGAGGGGCAGGCGGAAUUCCUGGUGUAGCGGUGAAAUGCGUAGAUAUCAGGAGGAACACCAGUGGCGAAGGCGGCUUACUGGACGGUAACUGACGUUGAGGCUCGAAAGCGUGGGGAGCAAACAGG
rnacentral:rRNA from 1 species